rnacentral:lncRNA from 1 species
UUUUUAAUGUAUGUUGCAUUACUUUUAAAGUUUUGAAAUUAUUUAAACAAAGGGUAAAUGUUUAUUGAAUACAUUUUGUGAUGACUAUGUAAAGGCGCAUUUGGAAAAUAAAUACGAAUUAAAUUUUUUGAGGUGGUGAUGGACCAAAAUGAAUAGAAAUAUUGGCGAUCAUCCUAUCUACCAUAAGUUUCAGGACGAAGAAUCACUUAAAACAAGUAUGUCAAUAAAUUCUAUGAAACUAUUAAACGCUGGGAUCAGCAGCAAAGAACAUUUUCAUAUGACCUUUAAGGAUUUGAACGUUACCGUAAACGGAAAAAACAUAUUACACAAUGUAUCUGGUGAAAUAUUGCCUGGUGAAGUUUUGGCGAUUAUGGGACCAUCAGGAGCUGGAAAGUCUACACUUUUGAACUUGCUUGUUGGAAGAAAAACAAAAGGAAUCUUUUUAAACAGUGGUUCAAUUGAAAUAAAUGGGAAAAGUGCCUCCAAAUUACUCCGAAGAAAAAUUGGAUACGUUAUGCAAGAAGACAUAUUCUUUAGUCAUCUUACUGUGCGGCAGUCUUUAGA